GACGAACGCUGGCGGCGUGCCUAAUACAUGCAAGUCGAGCGAAGUUUUUCUGGUUCUUGCACUAGAAAGACUUAGCGGCGAACGGGUGAGUAACACGUAAAGAACCUGCCUCAUAGACUGGGACAACUAUUGGAAACGAUAGCUAAUACCGGAUAACAGUAUUUCUCGCAUGAGAGAUAUUUAAAAUUUGGUUAUGCUAACACUAUGAGAUUGCUUUGCGGUGCAUUAGCUAGUUGUUGGGGUAAAGGCCCACCAAGGCGACGAUGCAUAGCCGACCUGAGAGAGGGAUCGGCCACACUGGGACUGAGACACGGCCCAGACUCCUACGGGAGGCAGCAGUAGGGAAUCUUCCGAAAUGGGAGAAAGCCUGACGGAGCAACGCCGCGUGAGUGAAGAAGGAUUUCGGUUCGUAAAGCUCUGUUGUUAGGGAAGAAUGGAUAUGUAGUAACGAUAAAUGUAAGAGACGGUACCUAACCAGAAAGCAACGGCUAACUACGUG
rnacentral:rRNA from 1 species